rnacentral:rRNA from 2 species
CGCGUACCACUUUGUGAUUCAUGACUGGGGUGAAGUCGUAACAAGGUAACCGUAGGGGAACCUGCGGUUGGAUCACCUCCUUACCUUAAAGAA